CACUUUUCUCAAUUUAUUUUAAAGAUGCUUUCCCUAUUGUAUAUUCUUAGCUUCUUUGUUGUAAGUUAAUUGACCAUACAUGUAUGAGUUUAUUUCUGGGCUCUCUUCUGUUCCAUUGAUCUGUGUGUCUUUUUGUGCCAAUAUCAUAC